rnacentral:rRNA from 1 species
UACGAGUACCCCAAGCGUUAUCCGGAAUCAUUGGGCGUAAAGGGUGUGUAGGUGGUCUAAUUAGUCUUCUGUUAAAACUUCGGGCUCAACCCGAAAUCUGCAGAGGAAACGGUCAGACUUGAGGGUGCGAGGGGUGAAUGGAACUCAUGGAGUAGGGGUGAAAUCCGUUGAUAUCAUGGGGAACACCAAAAGCGAAGGCAAUUCACUGGCGCAUUUCUGACACUGAAACACGAAAGCGUGGGUAGCGAACGGG